rnacentral:rRNA from 1 species
UACGUAGGGUGCGAGCGUUGUCCGGAAUUAUUGGGCGUAAAGGGCUCGUAGGCGGUUUGUCGCGUCGGGAGUGAAAACCUUGGGCUUAACUCAGGGCUUGCUUUCGAUACGGGCAGACUAGAGGUAUGCAGGGGAGAACGGAAUUCCUGGUGUAGCGGUGAAAUGCGCAGAUAUCAGGAGGAACACCGGUGGCGAAGGCGGGUCUCUGGGCCGAUACUGACGCUGAGGAGCGAAAGCGUGGGGAGCGAACAGG